rnacentral:rRNA from 1 species
CCUACGGGAGGCAGCAGUGGGGAAUAUUGCGCAAUGGGCGAAAGCCUGACGCAGCGACGCCGCGUGAGGGAUGAAGGUCUUCGGAUCGUAAACCUCUGUCAGCAGGGAAGAACGGUCACUGUGCUAAUCAGCAGUGAAUUGACGGUACCUGCAAAGGAAGCACCGGCUAACUCCGUGCCAGCAGCCGCGGUAAUACGGAGGGUGCGAGCGUUAAUCGGAAUUACUGGGCGUAAAGCGCUCGUAGGCGGUAUGUCAAGUCAAGGGUGAAAUCCCCGCGCUCAACGUGGGAACUGCCUUUGAAACUGACAAACUGGAGUGUGUGAGAGGAUAGUGGAAUUCCAGGUGUAGGAGUGAAAGCCGUAGAUAUCUGGAGGAACAUCAGUGGCGAAGGCGACUAUCUGGCACAUAACUGACGCUGAGGAGCGAAAGCGUGGGUAGCAAACAGGAUUAGAUACCCCGGUAGUC